rnacentral:Y_RNA from 1 species
GGCUAGUCCAAAGGUAGUGAGUUAUCUCAACGAACUAUUCACUAAGUCAGUUACAGAGUCAACGCCUUAUUCUACUCAUCCCUCUUCUCACUACUGUACUUGACUAGUCUUAA